UACGUAGGGCGCAAGCGUUGUCCGGAAUUAUUGGGCGUAAAGAGCUCGUAGGCGGCUUGUCACGUCGAUUGUGAAAGCCCGAGGCUUAACCUCGGGUCUGCAGUCGAUACGGGCUAGCUAGAGUGUGGUAGGGGAGACUGGAAUUCCUGGUGUAGCGGUGAAAUGCGCAGAUAUCAUGAGGAAGACCAGUGGCGAAGGCGGGUCUCUGGACAGUUCCUGACACUGAGACACGAAGGCCAGGGGAGCAAACGGG
rnacentral:rRNA from 1 species